AAGAGGGAACCCGGUGCGAGUCCGGGACUGCCCCGCAGCGGUGAGUGGGAACGACCGCCGUCAUGACGCACUGGGCCGCGCAGGCCUGGGAAGCGACGGCCAGUAGGAGCGAGCAGGACGCCCACGAGUCCGAAGACCU
rnacentral:ncRNA from 1 species